AAGUUAUCGUUUAUUUGAUAGCACCUUACUACUUGGAUAACCGUGGUAAUUCUAGAGCUAAUACAUGCUAAAAAUCCCGACUUCGGAAGGGAUGUAUUUAUUAGAUUAAAAACCAAUGCCCUCUGGGCUCUCUGGUGAUUCAUGAUAACUUCUCGAAUCGCAUGGCCUUGCGCCGGCGAUGGUUCAUUCAAAUUUCUUCCCUAUCAACUUUCGAUGUUUGGGUAGUGGCCAAACAUGGUUGCAACGGGUAACGGAGGGUUAGGGCUCGACCCCGGAGAAGGAGCCUGAGAAACGGCUACUACAUCCAAGGAAGGCAGCAGGCGCGCAAAUUACCCAAUCCCGACACGGGGAGGUAGUGACAAUAAAUAGGUGAUACAGGGCUCUUUUGGGUCUUGUAAUUGGAAUGAGUAC
rnacentral:rRNA from 1 species